GUAGACUAGGGUACCCAGUGAGGUACAGCUGAUUACACAAUAACUGAACUGAAGCAGUGUGGGAUCAUGCUGACAAACAACAGAAAAAAUUAACAUCCCAAGAAGAGCGUUGAGUGUCUUUCAACAAGACUAGAGAACUAUUCCUGCAGACUAGUUAAAGAAAUUACAAGUAAGCUCGUCUGAAAGAUUUCAGGCUGUGUUAAAGAUUAUAAGUGGUCAUACCAAAUAAAAGACAUUCAAGUUCAUUACAAUUGUACAACAAAGCUUUUUAUUUAAAUACUGUUAUUUGAUUAAUGCUUGCACAGUGAAUCAGUGCACUUCCAAUUUUCCUAGAAGAUGGAAAAUUACAAGGAGUGGCUCGACCCUUUUCCACAAGUACAUUUUUCCAUAGACCAUGACGAAAGAUGUUAGGUAAACGUUGUGUAUCUACUGAGUUUUUUGUGCUUUUUUGGGUUAGUCUGUUAGUGUUUAUUACCUUCAGCCUGUUUUUGUUUUUUGUUUUUUUAGUUAUAGUUUAGAUUUUCACAUUUGUAUCUUUCUGCUUAGUUUGUUCUUAAUUCUGGCCAUUUUGAGCUUUAUAUGCUAGCUUAUUUCUCUUCAUGAUUUUAUUCUCAGUCCGUCUCCUUUUUGUCAUUUACAACCAAAGCUAAUUCCCUGAGUUUGUUUUUGCUGCCCUCCUGUGUUCUCUGUGUCAAAUCUGCAUUCCUGUUUCCUGUUUAUAGCAUAACUAAAGUUGGUUCGGUUGACUAAACAAUUAAGUGUAAAAGUUGGUUGUGCUGUUACUGGUGAGAGCUGCUCUACAUGAUUUUAAAAGUGUCUCAUUUUCCUUGAUAUCAAAUGCAAAAUGUGUCUCUAUGUCUACUGUUGCCUUCCUCCCCAGUGUUGAUAAUUUGUAGUGUUUUCAUGAGAAAUAGAGAGCAUGGGAGCUAACUAAACCCCACCUACCAUAGUUCCAGGUGGCAGAUCAAGCGUGUGCAUCUAACCUUAUUGCCCAAGGAGAUUACUUCUGAUUGGAUCACUCACCAUCUUGCCCCCCCUUUCCCCACUACUUAAUUAGUUCUGAUUGGAUCUCGUCUCUCCAGAACAUAUUUAUGACAGUUUUAAUCCCCAUGAAUUAUUUUUAUUUAGUUAUUGUCUUGUUUUCAUCAGACAAAAAAUGUUCUUUGGUAAAAACUGUGAUGAAAAUUAUUGAUAAAUAACAUUAAGACUGGUCCUGCACUGUUUCUCUA
ensembl:lncRNA